CCAGAUCUUCGCCUACUUUCUCCAAUUCUCUACUGUCCCCAGAUCCUUACCAUGCCAGCUUCUGGAGUUUUGCAGAUCCAGCUGAGGCUGAAUGAAUGGAAUGGUGGCUACUUGGAAAACCCAAUGAGCAGUCCUGCAACGGAGGCUCAGCGGGCUGGAUCCAACAGAGGGCUUCUGAGGAUCCGCCCUUCAGAAGCUCCAUUUCGGCCGGCAACGUGCAGGACAAACGUUGCAACGCCUCUGCGGUUGUUCAUAAGGGCGAACAACUGCCAUGUGCUGCAAGAUUCAUAGUUUUAGGCCUUGUUCGGAAACACUAAGAGGCACUGAUCGCAUAAUGUUCAAACAUUCGCUUAGGGAACGCUCAUAAUGCAGGGAUUAUGUAUUAUGUGAAUAAUUUUUUAAAGGUGAAUUAUCUUCCCCAAAUUAAUCAAACUGUGGAAAUGAUGUUGAAUUAAUCAAAUAUGUUUAAGUGUGUAAUAGGUGUAUUUUUCUUUCAGAUAAAAAAUUUGCAGUAUUUUAUGUGUUCUUACAUAUAUAUAAGAAAUAUCCUCAAAUCUAUCAACCAAAACUUGCUUUUCCAAUAUCCAUAUUGAAGUAAAAUUCAUUAAAUAAC